rnacentral:rRNA from 1 species
UUGACGGGGGCCCGCACAAGCGGUGGAGCAUGUGGUUUAAUUCGAUGCAACGCGAAGAACCUUACCUGGUCUUGACAUCCACGGAAGUUUUCAGAGAUGAGAAUGUGCCUUCGGGAACCGUGAGACAGGUGCUGCAUGGCUGUCGUCAGCUCGUGUUGUGAAAUGUUGGGUUAAGUCCCGCAACGAGCGCAACCCUUAUCCUUUGUUGCCAGCGGUCCGGCCGGGAACUCAAAGGAGACUGCCAGUGAUAAACUGGAGGAAGGUGGGGAUGACGUCAAGUCAUCAUGGCCCUUACGACCAGGGCUACACACGUGCUACAAUGGCGCAUACAAAGAGAAGCGACCUCGCGAGAGCAAGCGGACCUCAUAAAGUGCGUCGUAGUCCGGAUUGGAGUCUGCAACUCGACUCCAUGAAGUCGGAAUCGCUAGUAAUCGUGGAUCAGAAUGCCACGGUGAAUACGUUCCCGGGCCUUGUACACACCGCCCGUCACACCAUGGGAGUGGGUUGCAAAAGAGGUAGGUAGCUUAACCUUCGGGAGGGCGCUUACCACUUUGUGAUUC